CCCCUUACCUGGCGGGGGACAGGCCGUGGUCAGGAAGGGGGUUCUCCCUGGACGAGGCUAGUCCACCGCACUUCGGCAGCGCUGACCCCUGCGAUAUCCCCACACGCGGGGCCCUGAUCUGCGGUGGUGUUAGUGCUGCCCGGCGGCUGGGUUCGCGCGCUCACUCU
rnacentral:snRNA from 1 species